UUUGACCGCACACAUAAAUAAUCCAACGAUACCAUUUCGUGCACCAUUGUUACUCCGAUCAGCGAUCAUGAAAUUGCUAACUGUUUUAUUUUUACUGCUCGGCGCAUUCGCCCUCCUGGUCAACGCCGCUUCUUUGGAUCGAGCAAAGGAGAUUGAAAAACUGCAAGUGGAAUUCCAAGAUGACAGCGAUGAGAGCGAUCCGAAGUCAUGUCACAGCUAUAGAUGCCAGAAGUUCCAUUGAAGAUACCGAAUCAUAACGUGGACCUGUUUAGUAUUUCUCUUUGGAUUUCCACGUGGAAGAAUGCAACUAAAUAUUCUAUAAUUUGAAAUAAAUUUCUUUAAAAAAGUUGAA